ACUACACCACAGUGCACCCCUACUAGGGUAGCCGACGGUGUGUAGGAUGAAAUUGGGCCCCAUUAGGCAUAUAGAAUCGCUAGGAAGUGCUGCUGGGCUACCGCCGACUAUCUCAUAGUACAUCCCUACUAUGAGCAGUCGAUAUAGUACGUCUGAUACAACUAGACCCCCACGGACAUAAUAUUUCGCAAGGAGGUGUCAUUGGUACUCAAGAACACCCAAAAGGUUGAUCACUCCUAUGGC
rnacentral:lncRNA from 1 species